AGAGAGGAGGAGGGUACGGGAGAGCGUGAGGGGAAAGCCGUCGUCGGCGAGGAGAAGCCGGGGAGGUAAGGCAAGGCGGCGGCGGCGCAAGGGCAGGGGAAAGGAAGAGAAAGGGCGGGAGAACAGUGAUGGAAGAGCCUAUCGCUG